AUGUUUCCAUCAGAGCUGGGAGGUGGCUCCCGGGGUGACUGUGGCUUCCGAAGCAGCCCUGUGACGGGCAGAGGGAGGACAGCACACGUGUCCAGGUGGACUCUGAGCACUCAUAUGGAGCUGUUUGUGAGCUGUGGCUGUCGCCGGAGCUGGGUCCCUAGAGCUGCCCUGUGGAGAAGCAGAGAUACAAAGGCCUGGCAGCAGGCUGAGGAGCCGCUGAUGGGGGCACCGCGGUCCUUCCUUGUCUGGGUGGCAUUUCCUGUGGUUUUGGUUGCCGGCGUCACCCGGUGUCCUGAGGGCACAAGGCCUCUCCUGAUUUAUCACCAGGCAAGAGCCGCCAUGUUGGAUACACAGGUGGUCACCUCACUUCCUCUCGUCCUGUAGGCCCAGAAUCCUCGCUGAGGUCCCAAGAUGGAGGAGGCGAGUGUGGUCGUGUUACACUGGGGUAUAACGUGUGUGUGUGUGUGUGUGUCUGACAGAGACAGAGAGACCACAUAACUUUUAUUACAGUGGAUUGCUAUAAUUAUUCUAUUUUAUUAGUUAUUUUUGAUCUUACUGUGCUCAAUUUAUAAAUUAAACUUUAUCAUAGGUAUACCAAAAAAAACAGCAUACAAGUUGUGAUUAAAAAACUGCUCUCAAGGGCCAUCCCUGAACCUCAGUAAUGGGGUGUGACAAGUUUCAGUCUGUUUGGUGCAGUCAGCGGGUCUCGAGCUACAGGUGAGAGGAGGUGUGUUUUAGAGUGUGCCGUAAAGCACUGGUCACAAACGCGUGACCAGCGUGAAAUUUUGUCGAUGGUAUUGGAGUUGCGGAUCCUGUGCUUCAGACUCCUGCUUUUACGAUGUAGCAGGUAGGAGAUGAAGUUUAGGCCCCUGAAUGUGAUCCUGAGACUGAGGCUCAGACUUCCCGGUGGAAAUCACCCAGCUCUCCUUGUGCAAAAGGGCAUCGGUCCAGACCCAGCAGCACGACGAUGGUGCUUUUGACCCUGAUGGAGCUGCACGAGUCGAGUUUGCACCCUGAGUGCAGCGGUGGGUGCCGGGAGCUCUGAGGGCCUUUGAGAGCAUCUGAGAAACGACGUGGGCAGGAAGCAGCUGAACGCUGAGCCAGCGCUUUCCCCCUCCAUCAAGACUCUGCUCUGGGUCACACAUCGACUCUGGUACAGCAGUUCCCGUCCAAUAAAAACAUGGCUCCGUGUCCCAUGAGCCUUAGUGACCAGCUCUGGCACUGUGCGACUUCUGCCGCUUCCCCAGAGUCAACAUGACUGUGGAAGGUCAACGUUUUGCAUCAGUUUGGGGUACAGAAGCAGCCAGGACAGUGCAACUAGAGACACUCAGGAAAGAAGACUGCAGAGCUGCUGCAGAAAGUGGCAAGGCGAUGGGAUGAGUUCAAAGAGGGGGAGAUUCUGAGGGGAUCCAUGGCCAUGUGCCUUCUACUGCAAUAA
rnacentral:lncRNA from 1 species